UGUCCCCUAGAGUUCUCCUGAACACUUCAAUGGGAGUUUCUUCAGGAAGCGGUUCCCAAUGAAGUGUUUGGGGGAACUCCUGGUGUCG
rnacentral:pre_miRNA from 1 species